rnacentral:rRNA from 1 species
CUUGUACCGACUGGAUGAGCAGCGAACGGGUGAGUAACGCGUGGGGAAUCUGCCUUUGAGCGGGGGACAACAUUUGGAAACGAAUGCUAAUACCGCAUAAAAACUUUAAACACAAGUUUUAAGUUUGAAAGAUGCAAUUGCAUCACUCAAAGAUGAUCCCGCGUUGUAUUAGCUAGUUGGUGAGGUAAAGGCUCACCAAGGCGAUGAUACAUAGCCGACCUGAGAGGGUGAUCGGCCACAUUGGGACUGAGACACGGCCCAAACUCCUACGGGAGGCAGCAGUAGGGAAUCUUCGGCAAUGGACGAAAGUCUGACCGAGCAACGCCGCGUGAGUGAAGAAGGUUUUCGGAUCGUAAAACUCUGUUGGUAGAGAAGAACGUUGGUGAGAGUGGAAAGCUCAUCAAGUGACGGUAACUACCCAGAAAGGGACGGCUAACUACGUGCCAGCAGCCGCGGUAAUACGUAGGUCCCGAGCGUUGUCCGGAUUUAUUGGGCGUAAAGCGAGCGCAGGUGGUUUAUUAAGUCUGGUGUAAAAGGCAGUGGCUCAACCAUUGUAUGCAUUGGAAACUGGUAGACUUGAGUGCAGGAGAGGAGAGUGGAAUUCCAUGGGUGGGGGGG